ACAAAAUUUAAAAACUCAUUUAAAUUUUGGAUAAUAUAGUUACUAAAUUAUAAAAUACUAAUAUAUAUCAAUGACAUAGUAAUAUUUUUCAUUUUACUUAAAUUGAAUUUUAUUUUCAUAAACAAAUUUACUUUAAAAUGUCACACGUCAUGGUAAAGUAAUGUAAAUGUAAAUAAGUCCAGAUUAAGACACAGUAUAUUUCAUGUUAUAUACUAAGAAUAUCAUGCGACUUUGCUUAAACAGGUGUAAAAUUAAAUAAACUAAAAUGAAUCAACUAAUAAUUAAAAAAUUGGAUUUAAAUAAGUGAUACGGUCACAUUUUGUGCACAAAUCUUGGUUCAGUCAAUAACAUUUAACAGCUUGGUCAGCAUUCAUGCUUAUUACAGAUAGAUAUACAGGGACCCGCUGACAAUGUUAAUAUACACAUUCUUACAGAAAACUGUUUGUGAAAAUGUAGUGCAACAAGCAGUUGAGGACUACCAUAUGAAUGUUUAACAUCUAAUUAAUAUUAUUUGAACUUAUUAUUAUUAUAAAAUUGUGAUUUAAAAAAUUAUAAUUCUCAUGAUGUUUAUAGCACAUUGUCACCUCCUUGAUGGACAUUCUCAACAUAUC